GGGAAGCAUUCAAUUCUAAUUCCUUUCUGGAAAUUUUAUUCUUUUGGUGAAAGAAACGAGUUCUUUGCACACACUAGUUUGCUUUGCCGUAUGACAAUUUUUCUUACAUAUGAAAAAUAUGCUUUGGUUUCUUUCUUCAACCAUAAGUUAUUGACAUAUUCUCUGUUACAAAAUUUGGGGAAAACAUGAGCAUCUUAUUGGACUUCCAUCAACUUUUUCAUUUUUCAUUUGGUACUUAUUGUUGUUUAUUUGAGCAGGUCCGCCAAAGUCAUAGAAGGUUACGUGUUGUGCGCUUGGAGACUACAACAGAUAGUCAGCGUAUUGUUGGCCUUCUUAUUCCAAAUGCUGCAAUUGAAUCAGUCAUGCAAGAUCUAUCAUGGGUUGCUGAUGUUGAAGGUUGACAUGGGAAAAGUUUUGAAGUUACUGCAAAACUUGGUCUGGAUGUCAGAUAUUGAAUCUUGUGGAUUUGAGAGAGGUGCUUAAGCAAUUGGAGCUUGAUUCGAGAUAGAAGACAGAUCUAUUAUAAAUUUUUGUGCAAAAUACGAGCCACUAUUUUUUGUUGGUAUGUUGUAAAUUGUGAGUGCAUUAAGACCCAGUAUCGAUUGACACCUCAUGCAUUGGGCUUUCCUUUUUUGUAUUGUUGUAAAAUGUGUAAGUACAUAUAGGAAAUUGCUGAUCUGCCAUGUACAAAAAGCAAACAUUUAUGCAAUUGAGCAAUGAAAAGUUCAAGCCAA